AACGAACGCUGGCGGCAGGCCUAACACAUGCAAGUCGAGCGGACCCUUCGGGGUUAGCGGCGGACGGGUGAGUAACGCCUGGGAAUAUGCCCUUCUCUACGGAAUCGUUCUGGGUAACUGGGGUUAAUACCGUAUACGCCCUUUGGGGGUAAGAUUUAUGGGGGCAGGAUUAGCCCGCGUUGGUUUCGGUAGUUGGUGGGGUACUGGCCUACCAAGGCGGCGUUGCAUAGCUGGUAGGGGAAGAUGAUCCGCCACACUGGAACUGAGACACGGACCAGACUCGUACGGAGCGGAGCAGUAUAGUAUCCUAGGGGAGGGAGGCUACUGUAGUCUAGCCGCGCGGGGGAAGUGAGGAAGGGCGUAGGGUUGUACAGCUGCUUCAGCUGGAAAGAGAGUGACGGUACCAGCAGAAGAAGCACCGGCUAACUACGUG
rnacentral:rRNA from 1 species